rnacentral:rRNA from 1 species
CCCUUAGAUGUUCUGGGCCGCACGCGCGCUACACUGACGGAGUCAACGAGUUGUCCUGCAUCGGAAGGUGUGGGUAAUCUUUUGAAACUUCGUCGUGCUGGGGAUAGAUCUUUGCAAUUUUCGAUCUUGAACGAGGAAUUCCUAGUAAGCGUGAUUCAUCAGAUCGCGUUGAUUACGUCCCUGCCCUUUGUACGCACCGCCCGUCGCUACUACCGAUUGAAUGGUUUAGUGAGGCCUCGGGACUGGCGCGCUCGAGUAGCAAUACACCUGCGCGCCGGGAACUUGGUCAAACUUGAUCAUUUAGAGGAAGUAAAAGUCGUAACA